ACGCUGGCGGCGUGCCUAACACAUGCAAGUCGAACGUCCUGCUUUCGGGCAGGGAGUGGCGGACGGGUGAGUAACACAUGGGAACCUACCCACCAGUGAGGGAUACCGGCGCGAAAGCGCCGACAAGCCCGCAUACGCUUCUCGCAAGCGAAGCAAAGCUCCUUCGGGGGCGCUGGUGGCUGGGCCUGUGGCCGAUUAGCUAGUUGGUGUGGUAAAAGCGCACCAAGGCGACGAUCGGUAGCUGGUCUGAGAGGACGAGCAGCCACACUGGGAUUGAGAACGGCCCAGACUCCUACGGGGGGCAGCAGUGAGGAAUUUUCGGCAAUGGGCGCAAGCCUGACCGAGCAACGCCGCGUGCAGGAAGAAGCGCUUCGGUGUGUAAACUGCUUUUCUCAGGGAAGAGUACGGACGGUACCUGAGGAAGCAGCCCCGGCUAACUACGUGCCAGCAGCCGCGGUAAGACGUAGGGGGCGAGCGUNGUCCGGAGUUACUGGGCGUAAAGGGCCCGCAGGCGGGAGGGUGCG
rnacentral:rRNA from 1 species